rnacentral:rRNA from 1 species
AUACGGAGGAUCCGAGCGUUAUCCGGAUUUAUUGGGUUUAAAGGGAGCGUAGAUGGAUGUUUAAGUCAGUUGUGAAAGUUUGCGGCUCAACCGUAAAAUUGCAGUUGAUACUGGAUAUCUUGAGUGCAGUUGAGGCAGGCGGAAUUCGUGGUGUAGCGGUGAAAUGCUUAGAUAUCACGAAGAACUCCGAUUGCGAAGGCAGCCUGCUAAGCUGCAACUGACAUUGAGGCUCGAAAGUGUGGGUAUCAAACAGGAUUAGAUACCCUGGUAGUCCACACGGUAAACGAUGAAUACUCGCUGUUUGCGAUAUACGGCAAGCGGCCAAGCGAAAGCGUUAAGUAUUCCACCUGGGGAGUACGCCGGCAACGGUGAAACUCAAAGGAAUUGGCGGGG